rnacentral:rRNA from 1 species
GACGAACCGAGCGAACGUUGUUCGGAAUCACUGGGCUUAAAGGGCGCGUAGGCGGGUUCGCAAGUCUGUGGUGAAAUCCUCCGGCUCAACCGGAGAACUGCCUCGGAUACUGCGGGUCUCGAGGGUGAUAGGGGUAUGCGGAACUAUCGGUGGAGCGGUGAAAUGCGUAGAGUAUGCGGAGGAACACCGAUGGCGAAGGCAAUCCCCUGGGCCUGCACUGACGCUCAUGCACGAAAGCGUGGGGAGCAAACAGG